UUUAAGUGUAACCAUAAGUUUCUGUGUCCAACUUUGAUCGUCCGUUUUAUUCAAAAGUUUUUUAUAUAAUUAGUAUUUUUAUUGUUCUGAGAUGAUAAAAUAUGAAUAAUAUUUUAUACAUAACUUAUUUUUUUAAUUUUUUUUAAAAAAAUUCAAAUAAAGCAGACCGUUAAAGUUGUGUACGGAAUGGUUGAACUUAAA
rfam:Oryza barthii chromosome 3, whole genome shotgun sequence.